GUGGGGAAUCUUCCGCAAUGGACGAAAGUCUGACGGAGCAACGCCGCGUGAGUGAAGAAGGUUUUCGGAUCGUAAAGCUCUUUCGUUAGGGACGAACGUGCUCUUUGUGAAUUAUGAGGAGUAAUGACGGUACCUAAAUAAGAAGCCACGGCUAACUCCGUGCCAGCAGCCGCGGUAAUACGUAGGUGGCAAGCGUUGUCCGGAAUUAUUGGUCGUAAAGCGCGCGCAGGCGGGAUAUCCAGUCUGUCUUAAAAGUGCGAGGCUCAACCUCGAGAGGGGACAGAAACUGGUAUUCUUGAGUGUCGGAGAGGAAAGUGGAAUUCCAAGUGUAGCGGUGAUAUGCGUAGAGAUUUGGAAGAACACCAGUGGCGAAGGCGACUUUCUGGACGAUGUGUGACGCUGAUGCGCGAAAGCUAGGGGAGCGAGCGGGAUUAGAGACCCUGGUAGUCC
rnacentral:rRNA from 1 species